GAUAAUCUAAGUGUAGAAAGAAUAUUCAUAGCUCUUAACAGCUGGAUCUACGAGUUCUCAUAUUGUUAAUUAAAGUCCAUCUCUAUAUCACUUUGAAUAUUUCCACUUUAUCUUUUUAGCAAGUAGUUUGUUACCUGCUAUGGAGUGCACAAAAUAUGAAUGUGCACACAAAAAGACAUGCCAUGUAAUGGUUAAAGGAAAGAAAGUGCUAUUUUUUAUUACUUCCACUUUCUUGCCAUUUUGUUUUCAAUAAGCAUAUCUCUAUAUCACCUACAAAACUUAAAAGAUUGAUAAUUUCAAGAAAAAAACUAGUAUACGUAUUCUGUUAUAUUUAAUUAUGUGGUGUUCUAUAUUUACAAAUAAUUACAACAACUUUGACUUAUUUAGCCAAAUUAACUAAUAUCUCUUCCCCUGUUUUACUUGUUUGAUGAUCUGUAGCAUUGUCAGGAUAUAUAUAUAUAUAUUCUAUAUCGCAGACUCAAGCUGGUUGGUAAAAGAACAAGACUGAUAUUGAUAGAGUUUAUUACCGGUAAUUGCUAAGAUUAAGAGGGAAAGAUGAAGAAGAAAAGAGAAGAAGUGUAUAUAACGAAAUUGAUCUUUUUAUUGGAUUGUGCACAAAGUACACAGAGGUACUACAAAAACACAACGUACAAUGGUUAAUAGGAAUGAAUAAAAAGAGGACAAUAUCCUCAAUACACAACAAUAAAUUAUGGAGAAACGAACUCUACAAAGAAUCAAAGCUUAGAUACGUUUAUGUUAACGAACUAAGAGAACAAUGUGCAAGAAGGCCAAAAGAGAAGUAGAAGCAAACUGGUCCAUGUCACGAAGAAUCAACCCUUCAAUUGAAAAAUUGAAUAUCUUAUUCCUUAAAUUAAUUGCUUUGCUCCAUCGACGUUUGAAUCUUUUCCCCAAGAAGCCAUCAUUUAUUUGGUGUUUCAAACUAAAAUCUGGAAACAAACAAUCAAAUAGAAAAUUAGAGAUCUAAUUCAAAGAAAAGAAGCAAAACAAAGUUAAUCUCAUAUGAAAAAAUUACAAUUUAAACAAUUACUCACUUGAUUGAUUGCCGAGAAUGCCUGAACUCCUGGAAACUCUUAGUAGUGGACUGGAGGUGGUGGGGAAGCGUAAAUAUAUACGGGCGGAGGAGGUGAUUUCACUGGUGUAGGUGGUGAGCUGUAGUAAUAAGGAGGAGGAGGAGACUGUACUGGUGGAGGUGGAGAGUGGUAGUAGUAGGGAGGUGGUGGAGAAGGUGACGAUGGAGGAGGUGACUUGUAGUAGUAGG